rnacentral:rRNA from 1 species
AGAGUUUGAUCCUGGCUCAGAUUGAACGCUGGCGGCAUGCCUUACACAUGCAAGUCGAACGGCAGCACGGGAGCAAUCCUGGUGGCGAGUGGCGAACGGGUGAGUAAUACAUCGGAACGUGCCCAAUCGUGGGGGAUAACGCAGCGAAAGCUGUGCUAAUACCGCAUACGAUCUACGGAUGAAAGCAGGGGACCGCAAGGNNUUGCGCGAAUGGAGCGGCCGAUGGCAGAUUAGGUAGUUGGUGAGGUAAAGGCUCACCAAGCCUUCGAUCUGUAGCUGGUCUGAGAGGACGACCAGCCACACUGGGACUGAGACACGGCCCAGACUCCUACGGGAGGCAGCAGUGGGGAAUUUUGGACAAUGGGCGCAAGCCUGAUCCAGCCAUGCCGCGUGCAGGAUGAAGGCCUUCGGGUUGUAAACUGCUUUUGUACGGAACGAAACGGCUCUUUCUAAUAAAGAGGGCUAAUGACGGUACCGUAAGAAUAAGCACCGGCUAACUACGUGCCAGCAGCCGCGGUAAUACGUAGGGUGCAAGCGUUAAUCGGAAUUACUGGGCGUAAAGCGUGCGCAGGCGGUGAUGUAAGACAGUUGUGAAAUCCCCGGGCUCAACCUGGGAACUGCAUCUGUGACUGCAUCGCUGGAGUGCGGCAGAGGGGGAUGGAAUUCCGCGUAGCAGUGAAAUGCGUAGAUAUGCGGAGGAACACCGAUGGCGAAGGCAAUCCCCUGGGCCUGCACUGACGCUCAUGCACGAAAGCGUGGGGAGCAAACAGGAUUAGAUACCCUAGUAGUCC